AUGUUCUUUUCACUCUAGUGUGAGUUUUUUCUCCUAUCUCUUACAGUCUAAAAUUUCCAAACUUACUAAGCCUGCAACUUUUUUCUUUUAGGCCAGACUUCUUCCCUUAAAUAAUUUUCUUUUGGAUAAAACGCUGUAUCAGGGAAUACCCUGGAAUUGAGUGAUGCCAUCACACAGAUAUUUUCCCCUUUGAUCAAUCUAGGAACCCUCGGAUGUUCACUUAGUCAGAAGAAUCUGUGAUUUGGUUCUGAUCACCUUCCAGAAAGGAAACUGUUUGGCAUUGGGGGUAUGAGCUAUUCUUACAACUCUAG
rnacentral:lncRNA from 1 species